rnacentral:lncRNA from 1 species
AUAUAUAUAUAUAUAUAUAUAUAUAUAUAUAGAGUCCGGCUAUUAUACUCUUAUGAGUACGAUCGCCCUCGUACUCAUAAGUUGUUUUCGAUGAUAGAGCUUCCAAAUUUACGAUCCACACCGUUAAACAUUAUUUAUAGCAUUUAAAACUUCUAGAAAUCAAAUUUCAUAAUUUUUCGACAUCAUUUACCUUACGAUAAAAAGCUCACAAAAUUGACAAUUUUUAACGGCCGGUAUGGAAUACUUGCUGGUUUAACGGUGGAAAAGAAUCGGAAUAGGUUUAAUUUUUGAUAGAAAAUUCUAUUCACUACCUAGAUAAAGAUCAAUAACUCCGAUCUUAAAUUGAAGGAUCCAAUCAUCCAUUUUUAGGGCGUCGUUCGAUUUUGACCGUUCAUUUUAUGCCCGCUUGAUGGACUUUAUUAUGAUUUCGAAAAAUUACGAAAUUUAUUUUCUAGAAGUUUCAAAUACUCUAGAUCAUAUUUAACGGAGUGGAUCGUCGAUUCGGAAGCUCCAUCAUCGAAAACAACUUAUGAGUACUAAGGGCCCACUACUCAUAAGAGUAUAGUAGCCCUACUCUAUAUAUAUAUAUAUAUAUAUAUA